rnacentral:rRNA from 1 species
UGGGGAAUUUUGGACAAUGGGCGAAAGCCUGAUCCAGCCAUGCCGCGUGCAGGAUGAAGGCCUUCGGGUUGUAAACUGCUUUUGUACGGAACGAAAAGACUCUGGUUAAUACCUGGGGUCCAUGACGGUACCGUAAGAAUAAGCACCGGCUAACUACGUGCCAGCAGCCGCGGUAAUACGUAGGGUGCAAGCGUUAAUCGGAAUUACUGGGCGUAAAGCGUGCGCAGGCGGUUAUAUAAGACAGAUGUGAAAUCCCCGGGCUCAACCUGGGAACUGCAUUUGUGACUGUAUAGCUAGAGUACGGCAGAGGGGGAUGGAAUUCCGCGUGUAGCAGUGAAAUGCGUAGAUAUGCGGAGGAACACCGAUGGCGAGGGCAAUCCCCUGGCCUGUACUGACGCUCAUGCACGAAAGCGUGGGGGAGCAAACAGGAUUAGACCACCCUGGUAGUCCACGCCCUAAACGAUGUCAACUGGUUGUUGGGUCUUCACUGACUCAGUAACGAAGCUAACGCGUGAAGUUGACCGCCUGGGGAGUA